rnacentral:rRNA from 1 species
UACGUAGGGGGCUAGCGUUGUCCGGAAUCAUUGGGCGUAAAGCGCGUGUAGGCGGUCCGGUAAGUCCGCUGUGAAAGUCGGGGGCUCAACCCUCGGAUGCCGGUGGAUACUGUCGGGCUUGAGUACGGAAGAGGCGAGUGGAAUUCCUGGUGUAGCGGUGAAAUGCGUAGAUAUCGGGAGGAACACCAGUGGCGAAGGCGACUACCUGGCCUGUUCUUGACGCUGAGGCGCGAAAGCCAGGGGAGCAAACGGG